rnacentral:rRNA from 1 species
AUGCGGCAUCCGCAGCUGGAUGCAUCGGCCAUGGCUUCCUCGAGCUCAUGGAGACAGACCUGUACCUCAAGGUCAGCGGCGAGGGUGUCUUCUCAGGACUCCCUGGGCGCCUUGCCUCUUCUGCAAGCACUGCAACACAAGGAGGGUCUCAGGGCUGUUCCACCAUCGGCCACGGUAACUGCUGGGCGUGCGGCCGUGCAUGCCGACCAGGAGGCGGCGGUGUCAGCGCAUCAGUGUUGGAGCAGGAGUUGGCGAAGGGAGUGGGGAUUCUGGGGAGGGUGGAGCCAAUCGACCAGUCGAAGGAAGGAAGCGAGUCCGGUCGCCGGCGGCUGGUAUGAGGAAAACCAGAGCCGGGGUCGGGGUGAGCCAUGA